rnacentral:rRNA from 1 species
CAAUAAGCGGAGGAAAAGAAACCAACAGGGAUUGCCUCAGUAACGGCGAGUGAAGCGGCAACAGCUCAAAUUUGAAAUCUGGCUCCUUUGGGGUCCGAGUUGUAAUUUGGAGAAGAUGCUUCGGGUACGGUCCCGGUCUAAGUUCCUUGGAACAGGACGUCACAGAGGGUGAGAAUCCCGUACGUGGUCGGUGGCCGUGCCCGUGUGAAGCUCUUUCGACGAGUCGAGUUGUUUGGGAAUGCAGCUCAAAAUGGGUGGUAAAUUUCAUCUAAAGCUAAAUAUUGGCCAGAGACCGAUAGCGCACAAGUAGAGUGAUCGAAAGAUGAAAAGCACUUUGGAAAGAGAGUUAAACAGUACGUGAAAUUGUUGAAAGGGAAGCGCUUGCAACCAGACUUGCGCGCGGUCGAUCAUCCUGGGUUCGCCCGGGUGCACUCGGCCGCGCUCAGGCCAGCAUCGGUUCGGGUGGUUGGAUAAAGGCCUCGGGAACGUGGCUCCCCUCGGGGAGUGUUAUAGCCCGAGGUGCAAUGCAGCCUACCUGGACCGAGG